rnacentral:rRNA from 1 species
GACGAACGCUGGCGGCGUGCUUAACACAUGCAAGUCGAACGGAAAGGCCCUGCUUUUGUGGGGUGCUCGUGUGGCGAACGGGUGAGUAACACGUGAGUAACCUGCCCUUGACUUUGGGAUAACUUCUGGGAACUGGGGCUAAUACCGCAUAUGAACUCCUUCUGCAUGGUGGGUGUUGUAAAGUUUCGGCGUUUGGUGAUUGACUCGCGGGUUGUCAGCUUGUUGGUGGGGUAGUGGCUUACCAAGGCGUUGACGCGUAGCCGACCUGAGAGGGUGAUCGGCCACAUUGGGACUGAGACACGGGCGAAACGCCGACGGGAGGAAGCAGUAGGGAAGCUGCGGCAAUGGAGGAAAGUCUGACCGAGCAACGCCGCGGGAGUGAAGAAGGGUUUCGGAUCGGAAAACUCUGUUGGUAGAGAAGAACGGGGGGGAGAGUGGAAAGCUCAUCAAGUGACGGUAACUACCCAGAAAGGGACGGCUAACUACGUG